CUUAAUGCUGGAGGCGUCUGCUAGUGCUCACCAAUGGGAAUAUUUUGAGUAUGUCUAUAAGGAGAUGGCUCUCUCUGGAUAUCAGCUAGAUCAAAGUAAACUUCCAAUUCUACUUGUGGAAGCAUCCAGAGCUGGAAAGGUAAGCUAUAUAUAUAUCUUCUUCGUGCUUAUGAAGUUGUUAAAUAUUAGUUGUCCCUUGUAUUAUUUCUAAUGCUGUUAAUUCCCCAUCACACCACCAAAAUUCUAAUUAGCAGGUCCUUUCUGUUGAUUAGUCAUUAUUUUGGAUCCAACAUGAUUUUUUAUGGAAAUUCAUGAUCUCAUUUUACUCGGAAGUUGCUAAUGUAUAGAAUGAAUUAUGGAUAAAGUGACUAGCUUGCUUUGAUGUUUGCAGUGGUAUCUAUUAGAACAUGCCUUUGAUGCCUCUUUGGAAGGUGGAGAGAUUCCACAUCCUCUGAUCUUCACUGAGAUGUUGAUACAAGCUACUUGGCAAAGUAAUUAUGAGAAGGCUGUCACCUUGGUCAACACCAUGGCUCAUGCUCCAUUUCAAGUUAGUGAAAAGCAGUGGACUUACCUUUUUUUGAAAAAUAGAGAUAGGAUUACUCAAGGUUGUUUAGUGAAACUGUUUGAUGCACUCUCCAGUUCUGAGUUAUCAUCUGAAAUCACAG
rnacentral:lncRNA from 1 species